rnacentral:rRNA from 1 species
AGUGAACGCUGGCGGUAGGCCUAACACAUGCAAGUCGAACGGCAGCACAGUAAGAGCUUGCUCUUACGGGUGGCGAGUGGCGGACGGGUGAGGAAUACAUCGGACUCUACUUUUUCGUGGGGGAUAACGUAGGGAAACUUACGCUAAUACCGCAUACGACCUACGGGUGAAAGCAGGGGAUCUUCGGACCUUGCGCGAUUGAAUGAGCCGAUGUCGGAUUAGCUAGUUGGGGGGGUAAAGGCCCACCAAGGCGCCGAUCCGUAGCUGGUCUGAGAGGAUGAUCAGCCACACUGGAACUGAGACACGGUCCAGACUCCUACGGGAGGCAGCAGUGGGGAAUAUUGGACAAUGGGCGCAAGCCUGAUCCAGCCAUACCGCGUGUGUGAAGAAGGCCUUCGGGUUGUAAAGCCCUUUUGUUGGGAAAGAAAAGCAGCAGGUUAAUACCCCGCUGUUCUGACGGUACCCAAAGAAUAAGCACCGGCUAACUUCGUG